rnacentral:rRNA from 1 species
GACGAACGCUGGCGGCGUGCUUAAUACAUGCAAGUCGAACGGAAAGGCCCCUUUGGUGGUCCUCGAGUGGCGACCGGGAGCGUAACACGUGCGUAACCUGCACUUGCCUUCGGGAUAACUUCAGGAAACUGGGGCUAAUACCGGUAAGGAAUCCAUGCUGCAAGGAGGGGGUUGGAAAGCUACGGCGGCAUUGGAUGGACUCGCGGGUUAUCCGCUGGUUGGUGGGGUAGUGGCUUACCAAGGCGCUGACGGGUAGCCGGCCUCAGAGGGCGACCGGCCACAUUGGGACUGAGAGACGGCCCAGACUCCUACGGGAGGCAGCAGUGGGGAAUAUUGCACAAUGGGCGGACGCCUGAUGCGGCGACGCCGCGUGCGGGAUGACGGCCUUCGGGUUGUAAACCGCUUUCAGCAGGGGCGAAGCUUGUGGUGACGGUACCUGCAGAAGAAGCACCGGCUAACUACGUG